rnacentral:rRNA from 1 species
AGAGAUUAAACUGAAGAGUUUGAUCCUGGCUCAGAUUGAACGCUGGCGGUAUGCUUAACACAUGCAAGUCGAACGGCAGCAGAAGGUAGUUUACUACUGAGAUGGCGAGUGGCGGACGGGUGAGUAACGCGUAGGAAUAUGCCUUAUAGAGGGGGAUAACUUGGGGAAACUCAAGCUAAUACCGCAUAGACUUGCUUAGGUAAGGAAAGCUGGGGACUGUAAGAGGCCUGGCGCUAUAAGAUUAGCCUGCGUCCGAUUAGCUAGUUGGUGGGGUAAGGGCUUACCAAGGCGACGAUCGGUAGCUGGUCUGAGAGGAUGACCAGCCACACUGGAACUGAGACACGGUCCAGACUCCUACGGGAGGCAGCAGUGGGGAAUAUUGGACAAUGGGGGGAACCCUGAUCCAGCAAUACCGCGU